AUACGUAGGGUGCGAGCGUUGUCCGGAAUUACUGGGCGUAAAGAGCUCGUAGGUGGUUUGUCGCGUCGUCUGUGAGAUUCCGGGGCUUAACUCCGGGCGUGCAGGCGAUACGGGCAUAACUUGAGUACUGUAGGGGAGACUGGAAUUCCUGGUGUAGCGGUGAAUAGCGCAGAUAUCAGGAGGAACACCGGUGGCGAAGGCGGGUCUCUGGGCAGUAACUGACGCUGAGGAGCGAAAGCAUGGGUAGCGAACAGGAUUAGAUACCCCGGUAGUCCAUGCCGUAAACGGUGGGCGCUAGGUGUAGGGGUCUUCCACGACUUCUGUGCCGUAGCUAACGCAUUAAGCGCCCCGCCUGGGGAGUACGGCCGCAAGGCUAAAACUCAAAGGAAUUGACGGGG
rnacentral:rRNA from 1 species